rnacentral:rRNA from 1 species
GAUGAACGCUGGCGGCGUGCCUAAUACAUGCAAGUCGAGCGAACAGACGAGGAGCUUGCUCCUCUGACGUUAGCGGCGGGCGGGUGAGUAACACGUGGAUAACCUACCUAUAAGACUGGGAUAACUUCGGGAAACCGGAGCUAAUACCGGAUAACAUGUUGAACCGCAUGGUUCAACAGUGAAAGACGGUUUUGCUGUCACUUAUAGAUGGAUCCGCGCCGCAUUAGCUAGUUGGUAAGGUAACGGCUUACCAAGGCAACGAUGCGUAGCCGACCUGAGAGGGUGAUCGGCCACACUGGAACUGAGACACGGUCCAGACUCCUACGGGAGGCAGCAGUAGGGAAUCUUCCGCAAUGGGCGAAAGCCUGACGGAGCAACGCCGCGUGAGUGAAGAAGGUCUUCGGAUCGUAAAACUCUGUUAUUAGGGAAGAACAAAUGUGUAAGUAACUAUGCACGUCUUGACGGUACCUAAUCAGAAAGCCACGGCUAACUACGUG